GACGAACGCUGGCGGCGCGCUUAACACAUGCAAGUCGAGCGAAGCGGCGGACGGGUGAGUAACACGUGAGUAACCUGCCUUAGACAUUGGGAUAGCCUCGGGAAACCGGGAUUAAUACCCAAUGUUCUAAGAUGGACUCGCGUCCCAUUAGCUAGUUGGUGAGGUAACGGCCCACCAAGGCGACGAUGGGUACCCGGCCGGAGAGGGGGAACGGCCACAUUGGAACUGGGAAACGGUCCAAAAUUUACGGGAGGCAGCAGUGGGGAAGAGUGCACAAUGGAGGGAACUCUGAUGCAGCGACGCCGCGUGAACGAAGAAGGCUUUCGAGUCGUAAAGUUCUUUUAUAUGGGAAGCGGUACCAUAAGAAAAAGCCCCGGCUAACUACGUGCCAGCAGCCGCGGUAAUUC
rnacentral:rRNA from 1 species